GAUGAACGCUGGCGGCGUGCCUAAUACAUGCAAGUCGAGCGAACAGACGAGGAGCUUGCUCCUCUGACGUUAGCGGCGGACGGGUGAGUAACACGUGGAUAACCUACCUAUAAGACUGGGAUAAAUUCGGGAAACCGGCGCUAAUACCGGAUAAUAUAUUGAACCACAUGGUUCAAUAGUGAAAGGCGGUUUUGCUGUCACUUGUAGGUGGAUCCGCGCCGCAUUAGCUAGUUGGUAAGGUAACGGCUUACCAAGGCGACGAUGCGUAGCCGACCUGAGAGGGUGAUCGGCCACACUGGAACGGAGACACGGUCCAGACUCCUACGGGAGGCAGCAGUAGGGAAUUUUCCGCAAUGGGCGAAAGCCUGACGGAGCAACGCCGCGUGAGUGAUGAAGUUCUUCGGACCGUAAAACUCUGUUAUUAGGGAAGAACAAAUGUGUAAGUAACUAUGCACGUCUUGACGGUACCUAAUCAGAAAGCCACGGCUAACUACGUG
rnacentral:rRNA from 1 species